rnacentral:rRNA from 1 species
CCUACGGGAGACAGCAGUGAGGAAUAUUGGUCAAUGGCCGGAAGGCUGAACCAGCCAAGCCGCGUGAAGGACGAAGGUGCCAAGCAUUGUAAACUUCUUUUGUCAAGGGACAAAAUCAGGCUCGAGAGCCUGACCGAGGGUACUUGAAGAAAAAGCAUCGGCUAACUCCGUGCCAGCAGCCUCGGUAAUACGGAGGAUGCGAGCGUUAUCCGGAUUUCUUGGGUUUAACGGGUGCGUCGGCGGACUGUUAAGUCAGCGGUAAAAGGCCGGGGCUCAACCCCGGAGAGCCGUUGAAACUGGCUGUCUUGAGAUGUCGAGAGGUAUGCGGAAUGCGCAGUGUAGCGGUGAAAUGCUUAGAUAUGGCGCAGAACUCCGAUUGCGAAGGCAGCAUACCGGCGGCGAUCUGACGCUGAGGCACGAAAGCGUGGGUAUCGAACAGGAUUAGAUACCCUUGUAGUC